AUUUCCUACUUGGUCCUGUUCGUGGCGCCGCGCCUCCGGGUGUUGGGGAGUCCGGGAUGAUGGGGAAUCCGGGGCUCGCCCUAGUCGCGGGGACACCGCCUUCCAGGAGCUGUCCCCAGGCAAACUCACAGACAUCUUCAAAGAGCCUUCUUGGACAUUCUGCUUUUUGCUCCUCAUAACAGGCUUCGAUGGAGUUUCUCUCUUAUUUUCCAGGCUGCAGUACAGUGGCGUGAUCUCGGCUCACUGCAACCUCCACCUCCCAGGUUCAAGCGAUUCUCCUGUCUUAGCCUCACGAGUAGCCGGGAUUACAGGCACAUGCCCCCAUUCCCAGCUAAUUUUUGUAUUUUUAGUAGUGACGGGGUUUCAUCAUAUUGGUCAGGCUGGUCUCAAACUCCUGACCUCAGGUGAUCCGCCUCGGCCUCCCAAAGUGUUGGGAUUACAGGCGUGAGCCACCCACUGUAUCUCUUGUUCGGAGGAAUAUCUAAUCAAGAAAAUCAUUUUUACUGUUUUUAUUUUUUGGUUUGUUCGUUUUUUUCCUGUGAGAUGGAGUUUCACUCUUGUUGCCCAUCCUGGUGUACAAUGGCGCGAUCUCGGCUCACUUCAACCUCCGCCUCCCAGUGCGUCCGGAAUUGGUGGGUUCUUGGUCUCACUGACUUCAAGAAUGAAGCUGCGCACCCUCACGGUAUACAAUUUUAUUGCCAAGCAAUAAAAUUGGCAAGAAAACCAAAGUUAUUGUUCAGUACUUUGUAUUGUUCUACUCUGUGCCCACCAAAUGUCAAAGCACUGGAAGGACAGAGGGACAAGAGGGAUGGCCCUUUCAGGACGGGAACCCACGUCUGGCUGGAGAGAUAAGACCAAUUAUAAUCAGCAAGACAUGGCCAGGAGCUAAAUUAUAAGGAAGAAACUGCUACUGAGGGGGAUCAGGAAAGGAUGCAGAAGAAUGUGCUGGAAAAACAGAGGAGGGUUUCUCAGAAAAAGCAUCUUCCGUCCAAAGAAACAGUGUUUGUACAGGAUGAAAAGUCUGAGGAGGUCAUCUUGGGCAAAGGAAACGGCAGCUAUAAAUAUUUGUGAAUUAACAGAUAUGCUUCCCUGCACAAUGAAUUACCCUUUUUGUCUCCAGUAAGCACCCAGAUCUUAAUGUCAGCUUUUGCAAGUUUUGAAAUGGUUUCUGGAACUCCAUCCUGUAGCUUGUCUUCAAUAGCUGUAGCUCCCAGGAGCUAGAAUGUAUAUUAAAAAAAAAAAAAAAAGGAAUUAGCAAACAAACCAAAAGUUUUCUGUAAUUACAGGUUGCCAACCUGUAAAAAGAAGGGCUAAUUAUACAUCCUGGUUGCUGCUCUCCUGGGGCCAAUGGCCAGUGUUAACAGGGAAGGCUGCCAUGUUUCACAAUUACUGCAAACCAACACACCUAAAAACUUUUUCCCUAAAGGAUGAACUAUUUAAUUUACCAAGACAAAAAUGCAAGUACAAAAUCAAGGAUGUUAAAAAUACACUUUUCUUGUGUAUUUGUGGCUUUAUACUGACAUAAACCGUAAACCAGUUGCAAUACUAGCUAUUUGUUGAAUAUUUUCCACUUAUCUAAACCCUACAAAAACUAUGUAUUAAAUUUGGAAAACUUUUAGAAACAAUAUAUUUUUCUUAUUUCAAGAUUUUGCAGAAUAUGAAUUGUUUCGGUAAUUCCCCCAAUGUAAUAAGUAUUAGAUGCAGGUUUGUUAUUGUUUAAAAAUUAUAAUAAAUUUUAAUAAGUGAUAUACAAAUUAUGGAAUUAAAUUAGAACUUCUCCUAAUGUAUUUUGUCUUUUGGUUUCUCAUAAUGGCAACUUCUGUUCUGCUCCUAUUUUGGUGAAUAAAAGAAAUAACCUUCUUCCAUUGUGCCAGUGUCAAAUGCUGAAGUUACAAUUAUCUCUUAAGCAUGAGAUCAAAUAUUCAAUAAAACUUAAUAAAAAUUUCAAUUCUGCUUAGAAUAUCAAAGAAAAA
rnacentral:lncRNA from 1 species